GAUGAACGCUGGCGGCGUGCCUAAUACAUGCAAGUCGAGCGAACGGACGAGAAGCUUGCUUCUCUGAUGUUAGCGGCGGACGGGUGAGUAACACGUGGAUAACCUACCUAUAAGACUGGGAUAACUUCGGGAAACCGGAGCUAAUACCGGAUAAUAUUUUGAACAGCAUGGUUCAAAAGUGAAAGACGGUCUUGCUGUCACUUAUAGAUGGAUCCGCGCUGCAUUAGCUAGUUGGUAAGGUAACGGCUUACCAAGGCAACGAUGCAUAGCCGACCUGAGAGGGUGAUCGGCCACACUGGAACUGAGACACGGUCCAGACUCCUACGGGAGGCAGCAGUAGGGAAUCUUCCGCAAUGGGCGAAAGCCUGACGGAGCAACGCCGCGUGAGUGAUGAAGGUCUUCGGAUCGUAAAACUCUGCUAUUAGGGAAGAACAUAUGUGUAAGUAACUGUGCACAUCUUGACGGUACCUAAUCAGAAAGCCACGGCUAACUACGUG
rnacentral:rRNA from 1 species